rnacentral:lncRNA from 1 species
CAAGACUAGCCUUUCUUUCUUCUCUUCCUUUGAAGAAUUAAGUGGUCUUGUUGGCUAGGACGUGUACCUGGUUCAGCUCUCUCCCCCAGGACUUCUUACCUGGGCUCCUUUUGAUUUCCUGCACGCAGUAGGAGGAAUCUAGAUCAUCGGGACUAGAAAGAAGCAGCUUCCUUCUGAUUGGGCGGCGUCUCUGAUCCUCAACUUCAGGUGCAAGGAGAGGCAAAGAAGGUGAGUGCUGCAACUGAUUGAACCAGAGCGGAGAACACAGGGAGAGGACAUCAGGUCAGGCAAAGAACAUUUCUUCCCCGAACAUGGCUAUUCACCGCUGGGGGCCUUCUCUUCUUCACCGCUUUUCACUGUCAGGUGAUAUUGGGCACUGAAGACACAGGCUCUACCAGUGUUGUGGGGAAGAAGAGGUUGUAGUGGCCUGUGGCUGCAAGGUACAAGGUGACUGCAAUGUUGAAGGGCAGAGUGAAGACCGGGAGGUCCCACUUGCUGAAGAUGGAAUUCAAGGCACUAGAAAGAACUGGGCUGAAGAUGGAAGAGACAGAGGGUUAAUCCCUGUGACAUCCUGAGGUCUACAUUGUCUCAGCAGCUCUGGCCACUGUAUCAUCCACUGCCUC